AGAGGGUGCAAGCGUUAAUCGGAAUUACUGGGCGUAAAGCGCGCGUAGGCGGAUAUUUAAGUCGGAUGUGAAAGCCCCAAGCUUAACUUGGGAACUGCAUUCGAUACUGGGUAUCUAGAGUAUGGUAGAGGAAAGUGGAAUUUCCGGUGUAGCGGUGAAAUGCGUAGAUAUCGGAAGGAACACCAGUGGCGAAGGCGGCUUUCUGGACCAAUACUGACGCUGAGGUGCGAAAGCGUGGGGAGCAAACAGGGAUUAGAGACCCUGGUAGUCCACGCUGUCAACGAUGAGAACUAGACGUUGGGAAGGUUACUUCUUAGUGUCGCAGCUAACGCGAUAAGUUCUCCGCCUGGGGAUACGGCCGCAAGGUUA
rnacentral:rRNA from 1 species